UUAAAAAAACUUAUUCAUUCCGUCGGUAAUACAGACGGCGCGAAGGAGUUCACUAGCAACUCCAGGAUCCCCUUAACUUGCCUGUAAAAUUCGUUGUAUUUAUGUUGCUAUAUUGUACCUAUGUAUGACAUGCCGCAAAUACAUUUAUAGAUUUUUUUCUGUUUUUUUCUCCUGAAGAAUAUCCUUCAUUUUUAUAUUCAAAAAUUUGUAUAAUGGUAGCGAAUUUCUUCCUAUGCUUAUACUUCCUACCUCCUAUCCUAAGUGCAAAUACGGACUGCUUCUGCGCCAAUGAACAUUACACGAGACCUGACAGUCAAACCCGCGACGUGCUGCGGUGAUUAAUGCUAACUGCGUGAGCUAUCCCUUUUCUGAACUAUUAUCAUCCACCCUUUCUCUCGCUGGUAACAGAUGUACCUCCUAUUAAUCAAGCCAAUCCUUCGUUUCUGUCCUCUCUGAUCGUCAGUGGCCCAGUUGAGCCACUUAUAUCAUUGUUCAACUUUUUUUACGUGAUACCGUAUUGCCAAUCUCAAAGCUGUGUUCAUGCUUCAUAUCUUUACUUUCAAACAAAAAAAAGAAAAGAAAAAAACAUUACUGUAACUUUGAUAACGAGAUGAGACCACAACGGUAAGCCCGAAUCCGAACCCCCAUUCGAGUCCCUACGGUGCCAGGACUUGCCGGCCGCGCAGAGAAUGACCAUCUCCGCGACCGUUCCCUACAACCGUUCCGUCUGUGCAAUACCUACUCGUGAAUAUAUCGGCUCCUCAAGCACGAAAACAAGCUAAAGACAAUGUUCCCAAAUUUUUUUAUUUCUAUUUUGCAGCGCAUAACUCCGUUUCAUCUUGCUAUGUCGUUGAGACAGAAAACUGAUUCCGAAUACAUAGAAGUUAAUAGAAAUAGUCGAAAGAAGAAAGCUUGAAUCGCAGUAGAGAUACGUAUAAGUAUGUGGCAAAAUGACACAUGCGAUAUACAUAUAACAACGAUAAGUAUUCAAUGUUGUUGCAAUGCGUCAACACGAACAUGAUGGAUUGAAAAUUAGUCGAGGAUAGAGCUGCUUCAUUUGAUAUACCCCCUUUGAUGAAAUCUCGUAGAAAGCUUUCCGUUCCUCGCCUAUGGCCGCUCGUCAAGAGGCACGACUCGUAGGCGGGGCUCAAAGCAUGUUCGGACGAAAAAGGAAGAAGAGGGAAGCCUGAAAAGUUUUGAAAUUCCAGCCGUGGAGCCGCGUGCUAAAGGAAUUGAUUACGCAGCGACGUGGUUCGCGAUAAAUGGUAGUUAGCGGGGGUGCUGCUAGGGGUAGAUAGCGCUCCUGCAACGAGCCUAGGUGCGCAAAUUCUUUACAACUGUUUGCCGGUGGUGGUUGCGCCUUGCAUUCCGUCGACGAGAUAGAACACGCAAAAUCGUCGAGGUGUUACAUGGCCGCGAUGCAUCUUUAUGUCGUGCAAAGUUUGCUGGAGACACGUGCCGAUGGCAGAAGCGUGAUCACGGUAAUCAAUUGAUCGAAAAGAUUACAAUGGCAUCGUUAUUGCGCAUCUGAACUAGCAUCGUCAUUAUCCUUAGUCGGCGAACGACAACUUGUGGAGCGAUUGAGCAUCGGACGUGGAACAAUGUCCUUGCGUUCCCUUGUACAAGCGAGUGUCUCUGUGUAUGGCUUUGUCGAAACUUUCAGUUCUGUAGACGUGCGUAUGUGUGAGUGUUCGACUACCAGGUCGAGACACUCUUGAAAGCGUAUGUUCUCGCUGCAGAGGGCUGCCUGGUUAUAUACACUACAGGCAGGAUAUUAAGGAAGCAGGUGUGUACGCUGCUUAACAAACAAGGAGUGAUUAAUAGCAGCCUCUCGUUGCCCUCGAUAACGCGACGACGUCCCCGGUGUGCCAUCCCUAAAGGUAUCAUAGCCAGGUAACGGAGCUCAACGUUAUGACGCUUCCCAGACUGUUUUGCCAAAAGCGCGUGUGACAAAUUGUCGCGCCGCUUACAAAGCGAUACUUUGCAUCGAGCGAUCUUGUUCAUAAAAAUUCGGGCUGUAUAAACAUACGAUCCAACGUAGGACGCUUUGAUACAGUACUUAAUAUUUGUUUGUAUUCAUCUUGCGUAGUUAUCUUGAUCGAUAUAUUCGUACGCUAUAAAUGACUAAGCAAAUCUUUCAAGUAUUAAAUCAAACAGUUUAGAUAUUAAUAUGUCGUCUAUAUUAUAUUAUAUACAUUUAUACCGUCA